CUGUAUUAACUUCAAUUAAGUAUAAAAUUAGAUUUGCCCUUAUUUGACUAGAAUGAGUUCUUUGAUUGUUUAUGUAAAAUAUCACUCACGCUGAACAUGCUGAACCUCAAUCCCAUAAGUCUCAUCAUGCUCAUUGUGAGCUUAUCACGUUUUAUUUGUUUAUCCUCAGUAUAUAUUCUUGUGUGUUUCUUCAAACUACAAAGCCGACUAAACUCUUUACCACAUAAAUCACAGUCAGUCAUGAAGUUUAUCACCUGUUCAUGUAUGUGUUCUCAUGUGUCUCUUUAAAUUACAAUGAUGACCAAAUUUUUACCACAUACAUUACAGUCGUGAGGUUAUAACCUGUAUGUGUUCUUGUAUGGCUUUGUAAACUACCAGGCUGACUAAACCCUUUACCACAUACAUCACAGUCAUAAGGUUUAUCACCUGUAUGAAUUGUCAUGUGUCUCUGUAAAUCUUGAAGCCGACUAAACCCUUUGCCACAUACAUCGCAAUCAUGAACAUGUUGAGGUUUCUCACCUGUGUGUAUUCUUAUGUGGACUUGUAAAUUAUAAGGAUGACUAAAUCCUUUGCCACAUACAUCACAGUCAUAAGGUUUUUCACCUGUAUGUAUUCUCAUGUGACUCUGUAAACUACCAGACUGACUAACCACCUUUACCACAUACAUCACAGAUAUGAGGUUUAUCUCCUGUAUGUGUUUUCACAUGUCUCUUCAAGUCACUACUCUGGCCAAAUUCUCUAGGACAAACCACACAUUUAUGAAGUUUUUGGCCAGUAUGUGUUUUCACAUGUCUCUUCAAGUCACUCUCUGGCCAAAUUCUCUAGGACAAACAACACAUUUAUGAAGUGUUUUGGCCAGUAUGUGUUUUUACGUGUCUCUUCAAGUCACUAUUUUUACAAAACUCUCUGCCACAAACAUCACAGUUAUGAAGUGUACACAGCUCUGUGUUCUUAGGUGUCUCUGUUGUGCGCCAUUGAUUGUAAAAAUCUGCUACCUCAUACAUUCUUUUUAAUGUGCAUGUAUAAUCUUGUACGGUUCUG
rnacentral:lncRNA from 1 species